AGCAAACGCUGGCGGCGUGCCUAAUACAUGCAAGUCGAACGGGGAAAGGCUUCGGCCGAGUACUAGUGGCGCACGGGUGAGGAACACGUGGGUAAUCUGCCUUCGAGUGGGGGAUAACUAGUCGAAAGAUUAGCUAAUACCGCAUAAGACCACAGGAUCUGCGGAUCUAGAGGUCAAAGGAGCAAUUCGCUCGAAGAUGAGCCCGCGUAAGAUUAGCUAGUUGGUGAGGUAAUGGCUCACCAAGGCUGUGAUCUUUAACUGGUCUGAGAGGAUGAUCAGUCACACUGGAACUGAGACACGGUCCAGACACCUACGGGUGGCAG
rnacentral:rRNA from 1 species